rnacentral:lncRNA from 1 species
ACUUCUUAAACACGGUGUGACUACAGCGGCAUCCAGGGUAGCAUCUCUUGCGUGGAGUUAAGCGAGGUAUGUCCUCCACCUCGUUGAUCUUUGGUAAUCCACCACGACUUCUUCACUCAUCAAUCUCAUCCAGGGCUUCCUCAUAGUGUUGCCUUACUUCUGCCAAUUCUAGUUGACUGUCUUCCAACUUCUGAUGCAUGACUUGGAUAGUCACAGCCAUCUCCUUUAGUUGUUCAUUCUGCUCCAAAUAAGGGUCAGCCAUCACACAUUGCAAGGUGCCUGGUGGGCGACGAGGAAGAUACUUUUGUUUGCCAUUCUUCCUCUCUUCGUAGUGCUUUCCAUGAUAUGCCAAAAGAGCUUGAUGGGCAGCAUC